UACGUAGGGCGCAAGCGUUGUCCGGAAUUAUUGGGCGUAAAGAGCUCGUAGGCGGCUUGUCGCGUCGGAUGUGAAAGCCCGGGGCUUAACCCCGGGUCUGCAUUCGAUACGGGCAGGCUAGAGUUCGGUAGGGGAGAUCGGAAUUCCUGGUGUAGCGGUGAAAUGCGCAGAUAUCAGGAGGAACACCGGUGGCGAAGGCGGCAUCCUGGACCAACACUGACACUGAGGAGCGAAAGCCAGGGGAGCAAACGGG
rnacentral:rRNA from 1 species